CACUCGAAACCACUUAUUCUUCAUCUUCUUAAUCUUCAACUUCAUCUUCAUACUCUUCUUCUCUUUCUUGUUCUUCUUCCAAUCUUUCUGGAUCUCUCUGUUCACCUUCGAGCUCCACCAAACAUAGGUGACGGCAAGGUCAACCUCCCCGAUGAUCUCUUCUCCUCCAAGCCCUCCGAUUCCAAAGCUAUCAUUGGAGCCAUUCACAGUUUCACAAACCACUUUGGCCAAGCUCUCUACUAAAGGCCAAGAAGCACUUUCUCAAGCAGGCAACAUUGUUGAACAGACUGUUGUUUAAAUCAGAGUGGUGUUGGCAUUUGUUGGGGAGAAUAGAGCACUGCAAGCUAAGGUUACUCAUUUGCAUUGAGGAUUGCUCAGUAGCGGCUCCGAAAAGAGCACAAUUGUGUCCUUCAUAGAGAGAUUCUAUGACCCUU